CAGCCGCCGCGGUAAUACGAAGGGGGCUAGCGUUGCUCGGAAUGACUGGGCGUAAGGGCGCGUAGGCGGUUCGUACAGUUGGAUGUGAAAUUCCUGGGCUUAACCUGGGGGCUGCAUUCAAUACGUGCGGGCUAGAAUGUGGAAGAGGGUUGUGGAAUUCCCAGUGUAGAGGUGAAAUUCGUAGAUAUUGGGAAGAACACCGGUGGCGAAGGCGGCAACCUGGUCCAUAAUUGACGCUGAGGCACGAAAGCGUGGGGAGCAAACAGGAUUAGAUACCCCAGUAGUCCCUGUCUCUUAUACA
rnacentral:rRNA from 1 species